rnacentral:rRNA from 1 species
GUUUGAUCCUGGCUCAGGAUGAACGCUGGCGGCGUGCUUAACACAUGCAAGUCGAACGAAGCACUUUAUUUGAUUUCCUUCGGGACUGAUUAUUUUGUGACUGAGUGGCGGACGGGUGAGUAACGCGUGGGUAACCUGCCUUGUACAGGGGGAUAACAGUUGGAAACGGCUGCUAAUACCGCAUAAGCGCACGGCAUCGCAUGAUGCAGUGUGAAAAACUCCGGUGGUAUAAGAUGGACCCGCGUUGGAUUAGCUAGUUGGUGAGGUAACGGCCCACCAAGGCAACGAUCCAUAGCCGACCUGAGAGGGUGACCGGCCACAUUGGGACUGAGACACGGCCCAAACUCCUACGGGAGGCAGCAGUGGGGAAUAUUGCACAAUGGGCGAAAGCCUGAUGCAGCGACGCCGCGUGAGCGAAGAAGUAUUUCGGUAUGUAAAGCUCUAUCAGCAGGGAAGAUAAUGACGGUACCUGACUAAGAAGCUCCGGCUAAAUACGUGCCAGCAGCCGCGGUAAUACGUAUGGAGCAAGCGUUAUCCGGAUUUACUGGGUGUAAAGGGUGCGUAGGUGGCAGUGCAAGUCAGAUGUGAAAGGCCGGGGCUCAACCCCGGAGCUGCAUUUGAAACUGCAUAGCUGGAGUACAGGAGAGGCAGGCGGAAUUCCUAGUGUAGCGGUGAAAUGCGUAGAUAUUAGGAGGAACAUCAGUGGCGAAGGCGGCUUACUGGACUGAAACUGACACUGAGGCACGAAAGCGUGGGGAGCAAACAGGAUUAGAUACCCUGGUAGUCCACGCCGUAAACGAU